UCAUUCGUUUCAAGGCCCACUGGGGAAC
rnacentral:sRNA from 1 species